rnacentral:rRNA from 1 species
CUUGCUUCUCUUGAGAGCGGCGGACGGGUGAGUAAUGCCUAGGAAUCUGCCUGGUAGUGGGGGAUAACGUCCGGAAACGGACGCUAAUACCGCAUACGUCCUACGGGAGAAAGCAGGGGACCUUCGGGCCUUGCGCUAUCAGAUGAGCCUAGGUCGGAUUAGCUAGUUGGUGGGGUAAUGGCUCACCAAGGCGACGAUCCGUAACUGGUCUGAGAGGAUGAUCAGUCACACUGGAACUGAGACACGGUCCAGACUCCUACGGGAGGCAGCAGUGGGGAAUAUUGGACAAUGGGCGAAAGCCUGAUCCAGCCAUGCCGCGUGUGUGAAGAAGGUCUUCGGAUUGUAAAGCACUUUAAGUUGGGAGGAAGGGCAGUAAAUUAAUACUUUGCUGUUUUGACGUUACCGACAGAAUAAGCACCGGCUAACUCUGUGCCAGCAGCCGCGGUAAUACAGAGGGUGCAAGCGUUAAUCGGAAUUACUGGGCGUAAAGCGCGCGUAGGUGGUUCGUUAAGUUGGAUGUGAAAUCCCCGGGCUCAACCUGGGAACUGCAUUCAAAACUGACGAGCUAGAGUAUGGUAGAGGGUGGUGGAAUUUCCUGUGUAGCGGUGAAAUGCGUAGAUAUAGGAAGGAACACCAGUGGCGAAGGCGACCACCUGGACUGAUACUGACACUGAGGUGCGAAAGCGUGGGGAGCAAACAGGAUUAGAUACCCUGGUAGUCCACGCCGUAAACGAUGUCAACUAGCCGUUGGGAGCCUUGAGCUCUUAGUGGCGCAGCUAACGCAUUAAGUUGACCGCCUGGGGAGUACGCCGCAAGUUAAAACUCAAUGAAUUG